GUUGGAUGAAGAUGAGGAUCUGACACCAUGUACUUUAGCUCUACUCAGAGUCCGCAUGGGAAAAUCCUGGAGAAAAAUGACUCAAGACCCUAUACAGCUGUCACUGGUUUAUAUAUCUGUCGCUACUCUCAUCAUUGCUCUGAUUACUGUGCUAAUCCAAAGUGCUCUGGAGUGUGUCCAAGUGCACAUCCCAGCUAGACAACGUAGGCAUACCACUGACUGUGCAGUAGAUGACAGGACAGGGACAUACCCUGUCAAUCAAGCAGAAGUCAAUGGGAAUGGACAGCAGGAUCAGAAUGACCCCAUCAGGAGAGAAGACAGAAUGUCCAGAACUGUUAGAAUGGCCCAGGGUCUAUGGUCCAUUCUACUGAGGGAUGGACAGACAGUUGACCUGGCUGUUACUGUGUCUGGGGUGUGUCUCUGUGUCCUCUGCACAUUGAUCCUCCAUCAUCUGCUCUGAUAGUUGUCUUACACGGCACAGGAAAUUACAACACAGGAAAUGCCUGAGACAGGAGAUAACAUAUAAAGGAAUGUAUAUGCUUUAUGUUGGGAAGCAAGCCUGUAAAUAUUAUAAAACUGAAUUUUUUGAGAUAUCUGACUAAUUUUAACUUGACAGGUGGGAGUGAACAGACUCAUAUGACUGAUACAGAUGUAGGAUCUUAAUAUGAUCACUCUUUUGUUGCUGAGAAUUUUUCUGUACAGCAGGAAAUGCAGAUGAACUAUGUGAUUUGCAUAAAUUCACUGAAAACUCACAUUUACAAACGGUUACAUUAACAGUAUUGCACAUUUCAUGUAGCCUACUUUUGGCCAGCUAAUAGCCUAACCGCCGAGCAACAUUGUGGACUAAAUGUUCAAAACCUGUUGCUGCAGGAUUAUUUUGCUGUGACAAUAUAGGGCAAAUUAAGAUCCUACAUCUCUAGGUGUAUGAGUCUGCUAUCUGGUUGUUUUGUUUCAGCCGCAUGGUGCUGAAUCACACGUUUUUUCUGGGGCUCCUAAACGUCUGUCUGUUUGGGGCCGUUACGUUAGGUUAGUCCAAGGCCGAUCAGAAGGACUAGUUUCUGCUGGUUAACUUAUUACAGUUUUUGUCUGAGCAGUUGUCCAGAAUCUUCUUGAUUUAUUGGUAAGGGUUAUGAAUCAUACGUACAGUUGAAGUCGGAAGUUUACAUACACCUUAGCCAAAUACAUUUAAACUCAGUUUU